rnacentral:rRNA from 1 species
UACGUAGGGGGCAAGCGUUGUCCGGAUUUAUUGGGCGUAAAGAGCGUGUAGGCGGCUAACUAGGUCCGUUGUGAAAACUCGAGGCUCAACCUCGAGAUGCCGAUGGAAACCAUUUGGCUAGAGUCCGGAAGAGGAGAGUGGAAUUCCCGGUGUAGCGGUGAAAUGCGCAGAUAUCGGGAGGAACACCGAUGGCGAAGGCAGUGGUCUGGGCCGGUACUGACGCUCAUCAGCGAAAGCGUGGGUAGCGAACAGG